GUGGGUUGAACCUGGUUUUGUGGCAUGCCAAACCUCGCACUUUAAUGGCAAUGUUAAAUAUAACAUUAAAAUGACAACAUAAUAUUACAGGACUACAAUACAAAUAAAUAGGAGAACGUAUUAGGCAAAGAAACAAAUGAAUAAUAGAUGACUAAAGGCAUCAGGUUUAAAAUUCAAUACGCCAAAAACGCGCCUCGUCCACACAAGACUUACCAGUGACGCCCAGAUAUAAAAGUUCGAAAGUC
rnacentral:lncRNA from 1 species